UCCGUUUGAUCCCGGCAGAGGUUACUGCUAUCGGUGUUCGACUAAGCCAUGCGAGUCAAAUGUUCUUCGUGAACAUGGCGUAAUGCUCAGUAACACGUGGAUAACCUGCCCUCAGGUCCGGCAUAACCUCGGGAAACUGAGGAUAAUUCCGGAUAUCCCUUUUCUGCUGGAAUCGCUUAAAGGGACAAAGAAUUUCGCCUGAGGAUGGGUCUGCGGCCUAUCAGGUUGUAGGGGGUGUAACGUACCCUCUAGCCGACAACGGGUACGGGUUGUGAGAGCAAGAGCCCGGAGAUGGAUUCUGAGACAUGAAUCCAGGCCCUACGGGGCGCAGCAGGCGCGAAAAACUUUACAAUGCAGGAAAACUGUGAUAAGGGAACACCGAGUGCCCGCAUCAAAUGCGGGCUGUCCACAUACCUAAAUCGUAUGUGUUAGCAAGGGCCGGGCAAGACCGGUGCCAGCCGCCGCGGUAAUACCGGUGGCCCGAGUGGUAGCCGCUUUUAUUGGGUCUAAAGGGUCCGUAGCCUGUCUGAUCAGUCCAUUGGGAAAUCCGGAUGCUCAACAUCCGGGCUUCCAGUGGAUACUGUCAGACUUGGGAUCGGGGGAGGUAAGAGGUACUACAGGGGUAGGAGUGAAAUCUUGUAAUCCUUGUGGGACCACCUGUGGCGAAGGCGUCUUACCAAAACGAGUCCGACGGUGAGGGACGAAAGCUGGGGGCACGAACCGGAUUAGAUACCCGGGUAGUCCCAGCCGUAAACGAUGCUCGCUAGGUGUCAGGCAUGGCGUGACUGUGUCUGGUGCCGAAGGGAAGCCGUGAAGCGAGCCACCUGGGAAGUACGGCCGCAAGGCUGAAACUUAAAGGAAUUGGCGGGGGAGCACAACAACGGGUGGAGCCUGCGGUUUAAUUGGACUCAACGCCGGAAAACUCACCAGGAGAGACAGCAAUAUGUAGGUCAAGCUGAAGACUUUACCUGAAUCGCUGAGAGGAGGUGCAUGGUCGUCGCCAGUUCGUACUGUGAAGCAUCCUGUUAAGUCAGGCAACGAGCGAGACCCA
rnacentral:rRNA from 1 species